GCCUUACAUGUAGUUUCGGACGGAGUCUGGAAGGAUGACCACGCAGCGCUGUCCUUCUUUCAAUUCUUUGGCAACAAUGACAGCAGCUGCCAUGGCGGUGCCAGAGCUCCCCCCUAUUUAACACACAAUCACUUUCACUGAUAAAUAAGCUUAGCAUGAUGGUGAUAAUAUUUACUGUUACUUCGGGUAUGUUUCUGGUUGGGAUGUGCAAGCGCUUACCGCACAGCAAGCCCUCAUCCCUAAUCAGCAUUCGAGACAUAUUGAAGGACUCCUCGUCAUUGGA